ensembl:scaRNA
GGUCAGUGAUGUGAUGUAAAAGGUCUGAAGCCCAGAUCUCCUCCCAGUUCCUAUGUUCCUCCCAGCAGCCCCGGCUGUGUUCCCAGCAUGCUCUAGGUGUGCGUGGUUGGUUUGCGGGGCGGCUGAUAUUGAGGGAGACGCUGCUGAGUGUGCGUCUCUGAGAGAGCAGCGAGACGCAGACGUACAGCAGCGUCCGACAGCAACACUGCACACAGGAGGGCGGAGCUAGGUUGACCUGGGUGGCUGAUCUCAACCUCAGACUGAGACC